UGCGGGGGAUAACAGGAGGAAACUCCUGCUAAUACCGCAUAGCCAUGAGCACCGCAUGGAGCUCAUGCCAAAUAUCCUUUCGGGGACAGCGCAGGGAUGGACCUAUGGCGCAUUAGCUAGUUGGCGGGGCAACGGCCCACCAAGGCAACGAUGCGUAGCCGGCCUGAGAGGGCGGACGGCCACAUUGGGACUGAGACACGGCCCAGACUCCUACGGGAGGCAGCAGUAGGGAAUUUUCGGCAAUGGGGGAAACCCUGACCGAGCAACGCCGCGUGAGCGAAGAAGGCCUUCGGGUCGUAAAGCUCUGUUGUAAAGGAAGAACGGCGCAUACAGGAAAUGGUAUGCGAGUGACGGUACUUUACCAGAAAGCCACGGCUAAGUACGUGCCAGCAGCCGCGGUAAUACGUAUGGUGCAAGCGUUAUCCGGAUUUACUGGGUGUAAAGGGAGCGCAGGCGGAAGGCUAAGUCUGAUGUGAAAGCCCGGGGCUCAACCCCGGUACUGCAUUGGAAACUGGUCAUCUAGAGUGUCGGAGGGGUAAGUGGAAUUCCUAGUGUAGCGGUGAAAUGCGUAGAUAUUAGGAGGAACACCAGUGGCGAAGGCGGCUUACAGGACGAUAACUGACG
rnacentral:rRNA from 1 species